AGUACGACGUGAGCAGAGAUCGCUACUGCAAUUUGCCCAGCAUGCCUUACGCCAACAGUUAUUUCGCCGCCGUCGUCCUGGAGGGAUCCAUCUAUGCCAUAGGUGGCUACACUGGAAUGAACAGCGGGCAACAAGUUCAAAGGUACGACAUCGCCGCCAAGAGGUGGUGCACGGCUCCCCUGAUCAGCACCAAGUGCUACUGCUCCGCUGCCUGCGUUGUUCAGGACGUCACCAACCAUGCAGCCUGGACAUAGGCAUCAGACAUUUAUGACAUAUGCGGAAGGAGCCACUGCAACCGACCUUGUUCACCCUCAACCAAGGCCUUUGUUUUCGGAGCGACACGAGUCACUUCUUG